rnacentral:rRNA from 1 species
GACGAACGCUGGCGGCGUGCUUAACACAUGCAAGUCGAACGCUGAAGCUCAGCUUGCUGGGUGGAUGCGUGGCGAACGGGUGAGUAACACGUGAGUAACCUGCCCUCUUCUUUUGGAUAACGCCCGGAAAAGGGUGCUCAUACUGGAUAUUCACUCAUUCUCGCCAUGGGGGUGGUGGAAAGGUUUUUUCUGGUGGGGGAUGGGGUCGCGGCCUUUCAGCUUGUUGGUGGGGUGAUGGCCUACGAAGGCGUUGACGGGUGGCCGGCCUGAGGGGGUGGCCGGGGAGGUUGAGACGGAGAUACGGGCCAGACACAUAGCGGAGGCAGCAGUGGGGAAUAUUGCACGAGGGGCGAAAGCCUGAGGCAGCGACGCGACGUGAGGGAGGGAGGCCUUCGGGUUGGAAACCUCGUUCGCACACGGUCUAGGCGCAGGUUGGGGUGGGGGUGAGGGUAGUGGGUAAAGAAGCGCCGGCUAACUACGUG